rnacentral:tRNA from 1 species
GGGGUGUUAGCUCAGUUGGUAGAGCGUUUGACUGGCAGUCAAGAGGUCGUGGGUUCGACUCCCAUACACUCCA